UCUUAAUUGAUCGCUUCUUCUAGGCCAACUUUGGAAGUUAUAUUUUUUACUCUCUCUACAAGGUUUUUUCCUAGUGUCUAAAGAGCUGUCCCUCUUUAGACUAACAGUUAAAUUUACAAAGGCAUUAGCUGGUUCUGUAGAUAAAUUUAAAGUUGAACUAAGAUUCUAUCUUGGACAACCAGCUAUCACCAGGCUCGGUAGGCUAAAAAAAAGUAAAAGGAA
rnacentral:lncRNA from 1 species